AAUCCACAGCCGAGGACAACUGAACCACGGGUCGCCUUCAACACGCACUUAAAUCCAAGCCCUCAGCACUUCCGGCAACUCCUAGGGAGUCACUCUCCGUCACAAGUGACGUCACGAGAAUUCUCCUCCACAGCAUCAGACAGCAGCUCCCCUAGCGGCAGGCAAGACGUAAUUCCACCUGCACUCGCUCAGUCACUCUCCGUCACAAGUGACGUCACGAGAAUUCUCCUCCACAGCAUCAGACAGCAGCUCCCCCUAGCGGCAGGCAAGACCUAUUCACAUGCUUGCCCAAGGGACCCUACCUCACGUGGGCUAGCAAGGACUCCUCCAACCUCCAAUUCCAUUCCUCUGGUCUACCAUUUCCCCUUUCCUCCCUCCAUCAAUACCUUCAGAUCUUGCCACAGGUACAUACUUAGCCAUAGCGACACCACCUACUCGGCCAGCUUCAGUAGUCCAUCACCUUCUGUCUCAGUAGCUCUAUGCUCACAAAUAAUUCAGCAGCAGGUCGUCUACAGCAGUCCAACCAAGGGUCAUUCAGGAGCCCUCUCAACCCUGAACUCUACUGCUGGAUAUUCGAAUUUAAACAUUCCUUUAUGUGAACUUGUGGAACCCCCUCACAUACAGCUUCAGCAUGCUCAAUUACAGCCACCCCCUUAAAACCUCAACACUUCUCCAUGAAAAGAAAAGCUAUCUGUUGCAGCUCCAUCCCCUCCAGUAGUUCCAAUGCUGAUAGAAAUGCCCCUCAGUAAACAUUAAGCUUUCCUUAAAUCAUUGACAUAGAGGCCGGCCAAUCCUGCAUCAGAGAGGCAGGACGGCACGCAACAACCUCAAUCACCAUGCGAGAAACUCCUGCCCUCAUAACCCUAUGACACCAGCAGACUGACUUGCAAAGCACCUCUGCACUCCUAUCAAGAACCUGAUAUAGUUGACAGGCUACUAGCAGAAGAGGUUUAAUUAAAUCAACUAAUCUUCUCUCCACGACACUCACAUUCCUACCAUUAACUGUAUCAUCACAACCCCAGAAUACUCAUUCACUAAGCAGGCCACGGAGCUUGGCUCGCCAAAGCCGAUACCCCUAAUGCCAAGUCUUGCCUAUCCAUCAAGAAUCCGGUGAGGCUUCUGGGAAGGUGCCAUUACUUCAAUGUAAGCCACAUUCGAUUGCAGAAGCAGACCUAGGAUUUUAGACUCUCUUUCCGAAGCUACGAUGGAUUCUUACUAACAACCACAGACUCCUUUACGUUCUUCACCUCCUCGAAGACUUCAAAUCGUUGCACCUUCAUCUGCACCACCAUAAUUAGGAUUUUCACACUAAUCUACGUUUUCACUGAACUCUGCCUUCCAUUAUCAGAGUAGAAGCCUCAGAGCCUCACACUUCCUCUGAGCUAGACAGAUGUAUUAAGUGUCAGCUACAAGGACUUCUAGGCCACCUUAACAAUGCCAUCCGGAAAUCUUUCGCGUCAGACAUUCUGUCAAAAGCAGCAAUUCCUUCUCCUACGACAGAGUCACAUUAGAUAAGCAUGCAAUGAAAAUGUGUCUCCGGCAACAACACCUCUCUUCAUGGAACAACAUUUAUUUUCCAUAAUGUCUAUAUCUCUCAUCCCGGCUGCAUCCAACUAUACACUGAUGCAACACCCUAAAUAAACUUCAGCAGUUAAUAUGGUGGCUGCUGGGUUGAUUCCGAACAGCCUCCGGAGUUCAGUUCCCACAAACCACAGUCAAGAGCAGUCUCCACAGCAUUAUGAAACAUAUCCCAUAAUCAUAGCAGCCAUCCUUUGGGGGUUGAAUGGUCCGAAUCUACUCAUCCGCUCAGACAAUGCAUCAGAAGUUGAAACUAUAAACAAGGGAUGAUUAUGUUUGGCAGUUAUGCAAUUCAUGCAUAGGCUCACUUAAUCUCUGCUCAACAACAGUUCCUUCUCCGAGCAACUCAUAUACCAGGACUCCUCAAUCUCGUAGCCGACUCUUCGUCUUAUUUCCCAUUUCCAGAAAUUUAGACUUGGCUCCAGAAUAAACAUUCAUCCCACUGCAGUCUCACCACAGAUCAGACAUCAAACAUGCUUCUCAAGAAGCCAUUCUUAACCCUCUGUAGUCGAUUAACGCGUAUACGCGUUUUGGGGUAUUUUC
rnacentral:lncRNA from 1 species